CGGACGGGUGAGUAACGCGUGGGUAACCUUCCUUGUACUGGGGGACAGCAGUUAGAAAUGACUGCUAAUACCGCAUAAGCGCACAGUAUCGCAUGAUACAGUGUGAAAAACUCCGGUGGUACAAGAUGGACCCGCGUCUGAUUAGCUAGUUGGUAAGGUAACGGCUUACCAAGGCGACGAUCAGUAGCCGACCUGAGAGGGUGACCGGCCACAUUGGGACUGAGACACGGCCCAA
rnacentral:rRNA from 1 species